GAGUUGUGCUUUUUAACCAAUUUUACCCCAAUAUUUGUGAGUAAUGUCUUGUUAUCUCUGCAAAGGAGGGGAAGAGUGCAAAGUUAACACACACCAGACAUAUUAACUGGAAACAGGGCAGAUGGAAACAGGAAGUAAUGGUUGAUGUUUUUUUGGUUCAGUGUGAAACUGUUGCAUUUUGUUUUUCUCUUUAAGAGUUUAAAUGUUCAGAGAGGAGGAAAAUCCAACCUGACCGCUCCUCAAGAAUCUUUUCGAAGAUCAAGAAGAAAAUGGAAAAUCCCUUCAGCAUGCAUACAUGAGAGGCUGUUUAGUGUCAGACUGCAGGGCUGCACUGCCUCCUACAUCAGCUUCAGUCAUUCACACAAACCCUUUUUGUUUUCUGGCACUUCUUUCGUCCAUUAAAUCUGAAACCUGUUGGCACUGACAUCAUCCUCCUCCUCCUCAUCUAUCCUACAAGGUGGGGCGAUGCUUUUGGCCUUUCAGCUGCUCAGGAUGCUGCACAGGAGCUGCAGGAUGAAUGCGGUCGCAUCAAGGUGACUGAGUGCAGCUGGAGGACGUCCACAGAUGGAGGAUUUUGCCAAACAGUGAAGAGCCAUCUGCUUCAUCGAUGGGAACCUCACAGUUACAGAGACAAAGAGAAGGAAGAAAGAGAUGGAAGGACGAUAAAAGGAUCAUUCAGUGGAUAAAUGGAUGGACAGUGAAUGAAAGGAUGGAUGAACAGAAAAGGGACUACAUAAGUACACUAACUACACUGAUGGAUGAUCACUGAGAUGGAUGGAUGAAGUUGUUAAUAGUUUCAUGCUCAGGGUGAAGGAGUUAAACUGUUGGGAGUACCGCUGAGAUGACGUUGUACUUCAUUCAAGGGGAAAAUUGUGUAGUGCAACUCUGCCACCUGUUUAAGACGAUCUUAUAUUUGUUAUAGAAUUUUUUUUAUACUGAAAAAUGAAGAUGGAGGUAAAGAUGUCGCCAUUCGUGUUGAACCGUCCGUAAGUACUUUGUGUUAGUCUGAAGCAGCAGUGAAACAUAAAAACUGCAUGUAUAGAAACAGUCAAAUCUGAUAAAAAUGCUUUAAAAAAAGUUUUAAAAAGUUUUUUCCCCCCUUAAAGUUAAAUUGUUGUUGGGGAAAUGGUCCUCUCAACCCCCAAGGCCAAUUGAUUGUGGGUUAGAAACCAGACAAAGUGAAAGUGAAAAGAUUUCUAUGAAGAAAGUUUUAUCUGUUAUCUCUGGCUCUCUCCCACAGUGUGUCUGUUGUCCUGUCUCCCUCCAUAUUAUUCUAUGGUCUGUACCUUAAAAUAUAAAGCAUAUUCAGGUGGCUGUUGUUGUCAUUUUGGUUGCUACAUGAAUAAAAUUGAAUUCAACUCAAUUAAAAAAAAUCUAGGCACACAUCCAACUUGCCUAAAGCACAAAUACCAGGGCCCCGCCCUGGAAACCGGCCUGAAUGAUCCACAUGGGUCCACCCAGUUUGGACCCACCAUCUAUAGCAGACACCAAAAGAGGGAACCCCCCAACUCUCCCAACUGGGAAAAUCAGCUGAAGUUUCUGAAAGUGUACCAUGAUAAAUAAGGCCUACAGUCCAUUUCCUAAAGAGUUUAUAACAUAUCAAAUUAAGACAAAAAAUAAAGAAAUAAAUAAAUAAAAAAGAAAAAAAAAUAAUAUGAAAAAAAAUAAAUAUAUAUAUAUAUAUAUAUACACAUACACAUGUGUAUACAUAUGCACAUAUGUACAU